UUACGGCCAUACCACGCUGAAACAUCGGUUCUCGUAAUGUCAGCGAAGUUAAGCAACGUCGAUCCUUGUCAGUAUCUAGAUGGGUGACCGCUUGGGAAUACUAGCUUCUGUA